rnacentral:rRNA from 1 species
GACGAACGCUGGCGGCGUGCUUAACACAUGCAAGUCGAACGGAAAGGCCCUGCUUUUGUGGGGUGCUCGAGUGGCGAACGGGUGAGUAACACGUGAGUAACCUGCCCUUGACUUUGGGAUAACUUCAGGAAACUGGGGCUAAUACCGGAUAGGAGCUCCUGCUGCAUGGUGGGGGUUGGAAAGUUUCGGCGGUUGGGGAUGGACUCGCGGCUUAUCAGCUUGUUGGUGGGGUAGUGGCUUACCAAGGCUUUGACGGGUAGCCGGCCUGAGAGGGUGACCGGCCACAUUGGGACUGAGAUACGGCCCAGACUCCUACGGGAGGCAGCAGUGGGGAAUAUUGCACAAUGGGCGGAAGCCUGAUGCAGCAACGCCGCGUGCGGGAUGACGGCCUUCGGGUUGUAAACCGCUUUCGCCUGUGACGAAGCGUGAGUGACGGUAAUGGGUAAAGAAGCACCGGCUAACUACGUGCCAGCAGCCGCGGUGAUACGUAGGGUGCGAGCGUUGUCCGGAUUUAUUGGGCGUAAAGGGCUCGUAGGUGGUUGAUCGCGUCGGAAGUGCAAUCUUGGGGCUUAACCCUGAGCGUGCUUUCGAUACGGGUUGACUUGAGGAAGGUAGGGGAGAAUGGAAUUCCUGGUGGAGCGGUGGAAUGCGCAGAUAUCAGGAGGAACACCAGUGGCGAAGGCGGUUCUCUGGGCCUUUCCUGACGCUGAGGAGCGAAAGCGUGGGGAGCGAACAGGCUUAGAUACCCUGGUAGUCCACGCUGUAAACGGUGGGUACUAGGUGUGGGGUCCAUUCCACGGGUUCCGUGCCGUAGCUAACGCUUUAAGUACCCCGCCUGGGGAGUACGGCCGCAAGGCUAAAACUCAAAGGAAUUGACGGGGCCCCGCACAAGCGGCGGAGCAUGCGGAUUAAUUCGAUGCAACGCGUAGAACCUUACCUGGGUUUGACAUGGAUCGGGAGCGCUCAGAGAUGGGUGUGCCUCUUUUGGGGUCGGUUCACAGGUGGUGCAUGGCUGUCGUCAGCUCGUGUCGUGAGAUGUUGGGUUAAGUCCCGCAACGAGCGCAACCCUUGUUCACUGUUGCCAGCACGUUAUGGUGGGGACUCAGUGGAGACCGCCGGGGUCAACUCGGAGGAAGGUGGGGAUGACGUCAAGUCAUCAUGCCCCUUAUGUCCAGGGCUUCACGCAUGCUACAAUGGCUGGUACAGAGAGUGGCGAGCCUGUGAGGGUGAGCGAAUCUCGGAAAGCCGGUCUCAGUUCGGAUUGGGGUCUGCAACUCGACCUCAUGAAGUCGGAGUCGCUAGUAAUCGCAGAUCAGCAACGCUGCGGUGAAUACGUUCCCGGG